UAGAGAGCGGACACCCAGUGGGACGGGGUUACUGCAGCCCAUGCACCGCAACACGCGGCUGGGGCGUCCCACGCGCGGCUGGGACGCGGCACCGCUCUGUGCCGGUGGGACCCGGCCAGGCAGCGUUUUCUGGGGAGAGGGGGAGGUGGCUAAAAUACAGACCGAUUUUCAUCAGAGCGGAUGCUAGUGCCCUUCAAAUUAAUCAACUGGCAGGAGAUAAUUUGACAGGUGAAGCAGGCAACUUCUUUUCUUCCAUCUAGACUACAUAUUCAUCAUCACAGGACACUGAUAUUUCAUAAGCCUGCAAAUUAUUGAAAUCCCAUUGGAGACGUCUACAGACGCAUUUGGAUGCCAAUGUCAUCAAUGCUGUCUGCACUACCAUGGCUUGCUGUGCUCUUCCCAAUCUUUGUGACGCCAGAGGUGCGCCAUUUCCCUCUGAAUGGAC